rnacentral:rRNA from 1 species
CCGGACUCAAGAGGGAAACAACCCAGACCGCCGUUUAAGGUCCCAAAUAUUGACUAAGUGGAAAACGAAGUGUGAAGGCUAAGACAGUCAGGAAGUUGGCUUAGAAGCAGCCAUCCUUCAAAGAAAGCGUAAUAGCUCACUGAUCGAGUCCUCAUGCGCGGAAGAUGUAACGGGGCUAAGUCAAUAACCGAAAGCGCGGAUUUGCAUGAAAAUGCAAGUGGUAGGGGAGCGUUCUGUAAGCCUGCGAAGGUGGUUCGAGAGGACUGCUGGAGGUAUCAGAAGUGCGAAUGCUGACAUGAGUAACGUUAAAGCGGGUGAAAAGCCCGCUCGCCGUAAGCCCAAGGUUUCCUGCUCUACGUUCAUCGGAGCAGGGUGAGUCGGCCCCUAAGGCCAGGCUGAGAAGCGUAGUCGAUGGGAAGCAGAUUAAUAUUUCUGCACCAUGUGCAAGUGCGAUGGGGGGACGGAGUGCGAAAGAUCAUCCGGGUGUUGGAUGUCCCGGUUUGUGAGUGUAGAAGGCCGACAGGCAAAUCCGUCGGCAGAUCUUCGAGACAAAGCAUCGAGGUUCUACGGAACCGAAGUGAUCGGAAGUGCUUCCAGGAAAAGCCUCUAAGCUUCAGCUUGCAUAUGACCGUACCGUAAACCGACACUGGUGGGCGAGUUGAAUAUACUCAGGCGCUUGAGAGAACUCGGGAGAAGGAACUCGGCAAAUUGACACCGUAACUUCGGGAUAAGGUGUGCCUUUGUAGCGUGAAGAGAGAAACACUCGGAGCGUGAAGAGGCCUCAGAGAAUCGGUGGCUGCAACUGUUUAUUAAAAACACAGCACUCUGCAAAGACGAAAGUCGACGUAUAGGGUGUGAUGCCUGCCCGGUGCUGGAAGAUUAAGUGAUGGGGUGAGAGCUCCUGAUCGAAGUCCCAGUAAACGGCGGCCGUAACUAUAACGGUCCUAAGGUAGCGAAAUUCCUUGUCGGGUAAGUUCCGACCUGCACGAAUGGCAUAAUGAUGGCCACACUGUCUCCUCCCGAGACUCAGUGAAGUUGAAAUGUUUGUGAUGAUGCAAUCUCCCCGCGGCUAGACGGAAAGACCCCAUGAACCUUUACUGUAGCUUUGCAUUGGACUUUGAACCGAUUUGUGUAGGAUAGGCGGGAGGCAGAGAAAGCGCAACGCCAGUUGUGCCGGAGCCGACGUUGAAAUACCGCCCUGAUUUGUUUGAGGUUCUAACCGCGACCCGUAAGCCGGGUCCGGGACCGUGCAUGGCAGGCAGUUUGACUGGGGCGGUCUCCUCCUAAAGGGUAACGGAGGAGUACAAAGGUACGCUAGGUACGGUCGGAAAUCGUGCUGAUAGUGCAAAGGCAAAAGCGUGCUUGACUGCGAGACCGACAAGUCGAGCAGAUGCGAAAGCAGGUCUUAGUGAUCCGGUGGCUCUGUAUGGAAGGGCCAUCGCUCAACGGAUAAAAGGUACUCUGGGGAUAACAGGCUGAUACCGCCCAAGAGUUCAUAUCGACGGCGGUGUUUGGCACCUCGAUGUCGGCUCAUCUCAUCCUGGGGCUGUAGCCGGUCCCAAGGGUAUGGCUGUUCGCCAUUUAAAGAGGUACGUGAGCUGGGUUUAAAACGUCGUGAGACAGUUUGGUCCCUAUCUGCCGUGGGCGCUGGAAGAUUGACGGGGGCUGCUCCUAGUACGAGAGGACCGGAGUGGACGCACCUCUGGUGUACCGGUUGUCACGCCAGUGGCAUCGCCGGGUAGCUAUGUGCGGAAGAGAUAACCGCUGAAAGCAUCUAAGCGGGAAACUUGCCUGAAGAUAAGUCUUCCCGGAGGCUAGACCUCCCUGAAGAGUCGUUCGAGACCAGGACGUUGAUAGGUCGGGUGUGUAAGCGUUGUGAGACGUUUAGCUAACCGAUACUAAUUGCUCGUGAGGCUUGAUC